UACAGAGGUCCCAAGCGUUGUUCGGAUUCACUGGGCGUAAAGGGUGCGUAGGCGGUUGGAUAAGUCUGAUGUGAAAUCUUCGAGCUCAACUCGGAAACUGCAUCGGAAACUAUUCAGCUAGAGGAUUGGAGGGGAGACUGGAAUUCUCGGUGUAGCAGUGAAAUGCGUAGAUAUCGAGAGGAACACCAGUGGCGAAGGCGAGUCUCUGGACAAUUCCUGACGCUGAGGCACGAAAGCUAGGGGAGCAAACAGG
rnacentral:rRNA from 1 species